rnacentral:rRNA from 1 species
AUGCAGUCGAGCGAUGAGGGGAGCUUGCUCCCUGAUUUAGCGGCGGACGGGUGAGUAAUGCGUAGGAAGCUGCCCGAUAGAGGGGGAUACCAGUUGGAAACGACUGUUAAUACCGCAUAAUGUCUACGGACCAAAGUAUGGGACCUUCGGGCCAUACACUAUCGGAUGCGCCUACGUGGGAUUAGCUAGUUGGUGUGGUAAUGGCGCACCAAGGCGACGAUCCCUAGCUGGUUUGAGAGGAUGAUCAGCCACACUGGGACUGAGACACAGCCCAGACUCCUACGGGAGGCAGCAGUGGGGAAUAUUGGACAAUGGGCGCAAGCCUGAUCCAGCCAUGCCGCGUGUGUGAAGAAGGCCUUCGGGUUGUAAAGCACUUUCAGCGAGGAGGAAGGGGUUGUAGUUAAUAGCUGCAAUUUUUGACGUUACUCGCAGAAGAAGCACCGGCUAACUCCGUGCCAGCAGCCGCGGUAAUACGGAGGGUGCAAGCGUUAAUCGGAAUUACUGGGCGUAAAGCGCACGCAGGCGGCUUUUUAAGUCGGAUGUGAAAGCCCCGGGCUCAACCUGGGAAUUGCAUUCGAUACUGGGGAGCUAGAGUAUGUGAGAGGGGGGUAGAAUUCCAAGCGUAGCGGUGAAAUGCGUAGAGAUUUGGGAGGAAUACCAGUGGCGAA